CCUUUGACGUUAGCGGCGGACGGGUGAGUAACACGUGGGUAACCUACCUAUAAGACUGGGAUAACUUCGGGAAACCGGAGCUAAUACCGGAUAAUAUUUCGAACCGCAUGGUUCGAUAGUGAAAGGUGGUUUUGCUAUCACUUAUAGAUGGACCCGCGCCGUAUUAGCUAGUUGGUAAGGUAACGGCUUACCAAGGCGACGAUACGUAGCCGACCUGAGAGGGUGAUCGGCCACACUGGAACUGAGACACGGUCGAGACUCCUACGGGAGGCAGCAGAU
rnacentral:rRNA from 1 species